GAUGAAGAACGUAGCGAAAUGCGAUAAGUAAUGUGAAUUGCAGAAUUCAGUGAAUCAUCGAAUCUUUGAACGCACCUUGCGCCCUUUGGCUAUUCCGAAGGGCAUGCCUGUUUGAGUAUCAUGAACACCUCAACUCUCAUGGUUUGCCAUGAUGAGCUUGGACUCUGGGGGUCUUGCUGGCCUAUGGUCAGCUCCUCUCAAAUAAAUCAGCUUGCCAGUGUUUGGUGGCAUCACAGGUGUGAUAACUAUCUACGCCUGUGGUUUUCCAUCAGGUAACCUUCAGUGAUGGAGGUUCGCUGGAGCUCAUAAAUGUCCCUCCUCAGCGAGGACAGCUUUUUGAACGUUUGAUCUCAAAUCAGGUAGGACUACCCGCUGAACUUAAGCAUAUCAAUAAGCGGAGGA
rnacentral:misc_RNA from 1 species